AUUUAUAUAGUUUAUUUAAAACAUUUUAUUUUCAUUAAAAAAAAAGAAUAUUUAUCUUAUAAAUU
rnacentral:tRNA from 2 species